rnacentral:lncRNA from 1 species
CCCUAGUCAAGUCUGUUCUCCAUCCUGCGCAUCGCUUAUCUGGCUUCUUUUCCAGAUGUUCCAAGAUGACUUGUGUGCAGUAAUCUGUUAACAUGCCUAUUACUGUUUACAUAACUCCUUUUGUUGACAUGCAUUUUUCCUUUUCUUGUGCUUAAAGAUGGUGAUAGUUCUAGAAUUGAAAGUCUUAAGUCACCAAAUAAAUGCCUCAGAGAAAGAACCCUGUCAGAUGCAAAUGCAAGCAAAGGAAAAUGUGGACAGUUACUGACUCAAGAUGUGUCAGAUGCAAAAAGCCUGGAGGAGGAGAAGGAAAUAGAGGAGGAAGAGGAAUAUGAUGAAAAAGAUAAUGGAGAUGAUGAUGAGGAUUAUGAGGAAGAGGAAGAAGAGGGUGAAGAUCUCACUCAAGACGAAAAGGAGGAGGAAGAUCUUGAAGAUGAAGAAACUCAGUCUAAUGGCAUAUUGGAGGAGGAGCAGGGUGGAUGUUAUGAACCGUCGCAAGAAAAUAUAACUGCCAUGUCUCCAAAGACAAUGAAUAAUGAAGUAUCUUGCAAGUCAGUAGGAAAACAAGCUGUCUUUCAAAAUCUAAAUAAUUUGCAAGAUACACAAGAAAGCUGGAACAAGAAAAGCAUGAUCCAGAAGUUUCACAGAAAUGGUGACUCCUGUUCUGUAGACUCUGAAAUGACCAACUGGAAAAAGGAGAUACCUCAGCCUCUCUCAGGUAGCUGUGGUCUUAAGGAGAAAAAGUCAGGCUUUGGUGAUGGCUUUGAAAAUGGUGAUAAUUCUUGGUUAGCAGCAAAAAACCUAAGGCUUGGAAGUCAAAGACCAAGCUCUGUUGUUCUUGAAUGUGUGGAUGAUGACGAUACUGAAGAAGAGCAAUGUGAAGAAGUAGAUGGUGAAGUCUGUGAAGCACUGAAGCAAGAAAGUGAAAACUUGUGCUUAAACAAGUGUGAAGAAAAUUUAAAAGCAGCAUUUUACUCGAGCACCAAAGAGGAAUCGUCUGAGUGGGAUGACGAGGAGGAGCAGGAGAAGCAAGGUGUUGGUGAAGAGCUACAAACUGCAGUUGUUGAGGGUAUGAAAAUUUCUGCUUGUAAUUAUAGCCAUCAAGUCCGCAAUGCUUCAAAAGACAGUGUUGCUGAGAGAAAUGAGUCCGUGAAUAC